UACGAAGGGGACUAGCGUUGUUCGGAAUUACUGGGCGUAAAGCGCACGUAGGCGGCUUUGUAAGUUAGAGGUGAAAGCCCGGGGCUCAACUCCGGAAUUGCCUUUAAGACUGCAUCGCUAGAAUUGUGGAGAGGUAAGUGGAAUUCCGAGUGUAGAGGUGAAAUGCGUAGAUAUCUGGAGGAAUACCGGUGGCGAAGGCGGCAUCCUGGACCGGCAUUGACGCUGAGGAGCGAAAGCUAGGGGAGCAAACGGG
rnacentral:rRNA from 1 species